UACGGAGGGUGCAAGCGUUAAUCGGAAUUACUGGGCGUAAAGCGUGCGUAGGCGGCUUGAUAAGUCAGAUGUGAAAGCCCCGGGCUUAACCUGGGAAUUGCAUUUGAGACUGUUGAGCUAGAGUUGAGUAGAGGUAAGUGGAAUUUCAGGUGUAGCGGUGAAAUGCGUAGAGAUCUGAAGGAACACCAGUGGCGAAAGCACUCUGCUGGGCCGACACUGACACUGAGAGACGAAAGCUAGGGGAGCGAAUGGG
rnacentral:rRNA from 1 species